rnacentral:rRNA from 1 species
UUUUUUGAGAAUUUGAUCCUGGUUCAGGAUGAACGCUGGCGGUGUGCCUUAAGCAUGCAAGUCGAACGGUAUAUUGUUGGACUUUGGAUGACUCAACGGCACGAUCGCUCUUUUAUAGAGUAAUUUGUGUUGUUGAUUCCAAAGUCCAAUGAUGUGCAGUGGCAGACGGGUGAGUAAUACGUAGGAACCUACCUCUUUGUGGGGGACAGCUCGCCGAAAGGCGGGGUAAUACCGCAUGUGAUCGCAAGAUCAAAGCCGUAAGGCGCGAAGAGAGGGGCCUGCGUCCCAUCAGCUAGUUGGCGGGGUAAACGCCCACCAAGGCAACGACGGGUAGCCGGUGUGAGAGCAUGGCCGGCCACAAGGUCACUGAGACACGGGACCUACACCUACGGGUGGCAGCAACUGGGAAUCUUGCGCAAUGGACGAAAGUCUGACGCAGCGACACCGCGUGUGGGAAGAAGGCCUUCGGGUUGUAAACCACUGUGGCGAGGGAACAAAAAAAUGAGGGUACCUCGCUAGAAAGCACCUGCUAACUAC